rnacentral:rRNA from 1 species
CCAUGAAGUUGGAUUCGCUAGUAAUCGCGCAUCAGCCAUGGCGCGGUGAAUACGUUCCCGGGCCUUGUACACACCGCCCGUCAAGCCAUGGGACGCCGGGGGUGCCUGAAGUUCGUUACCGUAAGGAUCGACCUAGGGCAAAACUGGUGACUGGGGCUAAGUCGUAACAAGGUACC